UCGUGAAUAGUUCACGUCACAGAUCACACCCUUAUAGUCAAAAUGGAAGAAAUCGUUCUCUGUACUACAUUAAUAUUCAAUCUUUUGAUACUUUUAGUCAAUUAAUACUGAGAAGAAAAACGAAAUGAUUCCAACAUGAAUCGAUCACAGUAAAUAUCAGACUUGAUGUGUGCAUGCGUGAAAAUACUUGUAUUUUAAAGUUCGAUGAUGAAUGAUGGCGUUUACAUUGAAGUAAAAUGAAUAUUUAGAAUACGGAGGAACAGUUUAUCCGACAUGAGGGAGGAAACAUGUUUACAUUUAUUUUUAUGGAUAACAGCGACUAUUGUAGGGGUGUAUAGUUGUACACUUCCUACAGAAUGGGAUGGAGAGUGGCAUGAUAGCAGCGAGACAACAAAGGACAUCACAUUCACUCUCUCUGACAACUACGUGGAGGGAUGGAGUCACCAAAUAUAUUCGACCGCUGUGACGUCAUGGACGUGUAUAGCAGAUGAUUCCUCUAACAAUCUACUGCUAUUUAAGUCAAAUCAAACAGUUGACGUCUUUGGUGCACUUCAUAACGUAUACCGUUGCAUGAAAUGGGAAAAGUUGACAGAUUACUCAUAUACGUAUUCAAUCUAUGCAAAUAUAGAAGAUAAUGCAGGAAGCAAACGUGUGCUACUUCUACCAACUACAGACACAGUCAACAUUAUUAAUGGAUGUGAUCCCUCUCUAGGAUUACCUUCAGCGAUAGAAACUGUUGUUCUGAUCAAGAAAGGUUACAUUCAGAAUGCUACACAGAAUUGUCCGACGCCUUUAUUGGGGAGUUUUAACUAUACCUUCAAUGACAGCUCUACAGCAUACUGUGAAGGUGAUAGUGUCUGGAAUGUUUGUUCGGAUCGAACUCAGAUGGUGGUCAACUACACUCUGUGUUCAACGAUGCAGUUCUAUUCAACCAGUGGUGUUGCAUACUGUGCAUACUCCACCUCAGUAGGAAGCAAUUAUUACGUCACAGUUGUUAACACAGAUACCACAGUGGAUUUUUCUUCCACCUUCCGAUUUACCUGCUACGCCGUGACGACUUCCGGUGAUAAAGUGUACGCUAGUGACAACAAGGGGGCCUGUGGACAAAAUCAGACCGCAUACAACAAAAUGAGCACAGGGUCCGGAACUCUUAUCUUUACUGCUUAUGAAACAUGCCGUAAGUAUGCGCUAAGUACUAAUACUAUUACUCACAUAUAGCGUACAUGCUAAUGCAGUAAUGGUGUUGUUAGUGAAGGAAAAUUGCAAAAGAAAACGUAACUGUUUAAUUACACGAACAUGUAACAGUCAUCUGUACAAUGAUGAACAUUUUAAAGAGAGUUAUGACUGAUAAUGUUUUUAAAAUGAAGAGGUGAAGUUUUAUAUCUUGAUAUGUACAGAAUCAUCUGAUUGUUUAUAUUUUUCAAAUUGUUGCAUGCUUUCUUAGAAGAGAGUAAGUACUAUUAUAGAGUGUUAUUAACCAAUCCUUCAAUACAUGUUCAAUAUACAUAAUGUGUUUUAUUUUUGUUAAGAGUGAUUAAAGUGGUUUUCCCCCACAGCAUUCACGUCAUCCACAGGCGGAUCUACGGCUUCGGAGAGCUCCAGUAAUUUAGGCCUUAUUGCUGGUGCCGUGGCGGCGGUCCUCGCGAUAGCGAUAGCAGUUGUAGUUGGAGUCGUGUUGUAUAAAAAAUUUAAAGCCAAGAUAAAUCCGAGGGACCAUAGCGAUGAAGAAAAAAUUCAACCUCCAGAAAAACCUCCAUCACCAUCAGAUUUAAAUGGCAAUGAACUCAAGACGGACAAGAUCCUGUCGUGACCCCAAAGGAUGCUACCGUGAUAGAACUCCCAAAAGAGAAACCAAACGCUCUUCCCCCGAUACCAAAAUAGUCAUCAAAAUCAUCAUGCACGAUCCGUCCAAAUGGAUUAAAACUUGCACAUUGCCGAUAAAUGAAAAUCAUUGCUUCGGUCCUAGCCUUUUGCUAAAUAAAUGUGGUUCAUUCGUAAAUUAUUUAUAUUGCAGAUACUUGUAAAUUAUCUACUCAUGUGUCAUUAAUUAGCAUUUCUUAUUUUAAAAAAAUAUUUAAUGCUUUAUUUUAUUUUUACAAAUAUUUCAUAUACGUGUAUUUCUUUUGUAAUAAUGUUUGUAAUGACGUCCCCUUUCUAUUCUCUUUUUUUAUACCAUGAUAUACCUGUAGCAAUUUUAGUUUUAUAGAUCUGCUGUGAUAUUGUGAAAACUGUAAAAGAUGUUACAUGUACAUGUUGUCUGCGGAUUGCAGGUUAAUAUAUGCAAAAUGACACCUAUUGCUAUGUUCUGUUAAGGUAUAUUCUGUAAAGGAAGUUCUCUAAUGGUAUAUUCUGUUGAGGAAAUCGUAGCUGACAAAGAAAAAAAACCUUACUUGUAUACUGUAUUAUGUGAACUUUUUAAAAUUCAGCAGUUGACCUUUCAAUGAAGUGUGAUAUCAUAUUUUUUUAAUACAGCAAUACUUUUGAGCAUGUCUUUCAUUUGCUGUUGUAUACGUACAGUGCAUUUAUUGAAAAAUAAAACAUGAAUGAUUUUAUUCAC